rnacentral:tRNA from 1 species
GCCGGGGUGGCUGAACGGUUGAAGCGGCGGCCUGCAGAGCCGCUCUAUAUGGGUUCAACUCCCAUCCCCGGCU